rnacentral:rRNA from 1 species
GCUGGCGGCGUGCUUAACACAUGCAAGUCGAACGAACCUUCGGGUUAGUGGCGGACGGGUGAGUAACGCGUGGGAAUCUGCCCUCAGGAGGGGGAUAACGGCUGGAAACGGCCGCUAAUACCCCAUAUGCCGAGAGGUGAAAUGAAUUUCGCCUGAGGAUGAGCCCGCGUCUGAUUAGCUAGUUGGUGGGGUAAGGGCCUACCAAGGCAUCGAUCAGUAGCUGGUCUGAGAGGAUGAUCAGCCACACUGGGACUGAGACACGGCCCAGACUCCUACGGGAGGCAGCAGUGGGGAAUUUUCCGCAAUGGGCGAAAGCCUGACGGAGCAACGCCGCGUGAGGGAUGAAGGCCUCUGGGCUGUAAACCUCUUUUCUCAAGGAAGAAGACCUGACGGUACUUGAGGAAUAAGCCACGGCUAAUUCCGUGCCA